rnacentral:rRNA from 1 species
GAGUUUGAUCAUGGCUCAGAACGUACGCUGGCGGCACGCCUAACACAUGCAAGUCGAACGAAGUAGCAAUACUUAGUGGCAGACGGGUGAGUAACAUGUAGGUAUCUGCCCUUUGGCCUGGAAUAACACGAGGAAACUUGUGCUAAUACCGGAUAAGUCUUUACGGAGAAAGCUUUAUGCACCAUUGGAUGAGCCUGCGUUGGAUUAGCUAGUUGGUAGGGUAAAGGCCUACCAAGGCGACGAUCCAUAGCUGGUCUGAGAGGAUGAUCAGCCACACUGGAACUGAGACACGGUCCAGACUCCUACGGGAGGCAGCAGUGGGGAAUAUUGGACAAUGGGCGCAAGCCUGAUCCAGCCAUGCCGCGUGUGUGAAGAAGGCUCUAGGGUUGUAAAGCACUUUCAGUAGGGAGGAAGGCCAGAGUGUUAAUAGCGCUUUGGAUUGACGUUACCUACAGAAGCAGCACCGGCUAACUCCGUGCCAGCAGCCGCGGUAAUACGUAGGGUGCAAGCGUUAAUCGGAAUUACUGGGCGUAAAGCGUGCGCAGGCAGUUUUAUAAGUCAGAUGUGAAAUCCCCGAGCUCAACUUGGGAACUGCGUUUGAAACUGUAAGACUAGAGUGUGUCAGAGGGGGGUAGAAUUCCAAGUGUAGCAGUGAAAUGCGUAGAGAUUUGGAGGAAUACCAAUGGCGAAGGCAGCCCCCUGGGAUAACACUGACGCUCAUGCACGAAAGCGUGGGGAGCAAACAGGAUUAGAUACCCUGGUAGUCCACGCCCUAAACGAUGUCUACUAGUUGUUGGUGGAGUAAAAUCCAUGAGUAACGCAGCUAACGCGUGAAGUAGACCGCCUGGGGAGUACGGUCGCAAGAUUAAAACUCAAAUGAAUUGACGGGGACCCGCACAAGCGGUGGAGUAUGUGGUUUAAUUCGAUGCAACGCGAAAAACCUUACCAGGGUUUGAAAUAAUUUCAAAACUUCUUGAAAGAGAAGCCUCCUUCGGGAUGGAAUUACAGGUGGUGCAUGGCUGUCGUCAGCUCGUGUUGUGAAAUGUCAAGUUAAGUCUUGUAACGAGCGCAACCCAUAUCUCUUGUUGCUGUUUACAGUGCUUAAGAGAAACUGCCGAUCAACAUCGGAGGAAGGUGUGGAUGAUGUCAAGUCAGCAUGCCCCUUACAUCCUGGGCUACACACGUACUACAAUGGUCGAGACAAAGGGUCGCUAACCUGCGAAGGUAUGCCAAUCUCAUAAACUCGAUCUCAGUUCGGAUUGUACUCUGCAACUCGAGUACAUGAAGGUGGAAUCGCUAGUAAUCGCUGGUCAGCAUACAGCGGUGAAUACGUUCCCGGGUCUUGUACACACUGCCCGUCACACCAUGGAAGUCGACCCUUCCCUAAGUCGUUACUCGAACCUGUAAAGGACGAGGACGCCGAAGGCAGAGUUGGUGACUAGGGUGAAGUCGUAACAAGGUAACC